AACGAAAACGAAAAACCAAAAAAAAAGGUUUUUGUUUCUAAACUUUUUGACAUUUACAAAAACCUUAAAGAAAUGUUUCGAUUUAUCCAUA
rnacentral:sRNA from 1 species